UUUUAGAUCCAAUAGUAUUGAAAUUCAGAAGCAAAAUCCUUUGGAGGAUUGAGUUGGCUUGUCUUGCAGUGGCAGUCAGUCCUUCACUAAGUUACAAAUGUUGCGUGUUGGAGCAGUUCACACAACAAAACCAGCGAAAGUAGCACCCGUGGAGGUCACUACAGGAGAACUGUGUAUUGCGGAUGUUUGAAGGUGUUGGGGAGAAAGGACAUCUCUGAAAAUGUUGGCUUACAUUGUGGGUAAUUGUGGUGAUGGAAACUUGCCUGAUGUUUUUUCACUGACGUUUUGUAACGUCAGUAUACAAUGUGUCGUUAACAAGUCGUUGGCAGUUAACUUGUUGAUAAAUGUCAAUGGUAGAACUAUUAAUUUCUCAAGUUAUUGAUGAGAAUAUUGCCUGAGUCAA